rnacentral:tRNA from 1 species
AGGAUGGUUUAGUUUUCACUUACAAUGAAAAUAACCCGAUUAGGGCAUUCU